GGGUGCGAUCAUACCAGCACUAAUGCACCGGAUCCCGUCAGAACUCCGCAGUUAAACGUGCUUGGGCGAGAGUAGUACUAGGAUGGGUGACCUCCUGGGAAGUCCUCGUGUUGCACCCC
rfam:Populus trichocarpa scaffold_17_contig_306, whole genome shotgun sequence.